rnacentral:rRNA from 1 species
CGACCUGAGCUCAGGCAAGACUACCCGCUGAACUUAAGCAUAUCAAUAAGCGGAGGAAAAGAAACUAACUAGGAUGCCCUUAGUAACGGCGAGCGAACCGGGCAAAGCCCAACUUGAAAAUCUCCAGCCUCCGGCUGGCGAAUUGUAGUCUAUAGAAGUGCUCUCUGCCUCA